rnacentral:lncRNA from 1 species
CUUUGUUUUCUCUCUCGUAACCCCUCCCCUCUCUGUUUACCUCUCGUAACCCUCCCCUCUUCUGUUUUCCCUCUCGUAACCCCUCCCCUCUUCUGUUUACCUCUCUCGUUAACCCUCCCUCUUCUGUUUUACCCUCCUCGUAACCCCUCCCUCUUCUGUUCUCUCUCGUAACCCCUCCUCUCUGUUUACCCUCUCGUAACCCCUCCCCUUCUGUUUUACCCUCUCGUAACCCCUCCCCUCUUCUUGUUCUCUCUCGUAACCCCUCCCUCUUCUGUUUUACCCUCUCGUAACCCCUCCCCCUCUUCUGUUUUACCCUCUCGUAACCCCUCCCCUCUUCUGUUUACCCCUCUCGUAACCCCUCCCCUCUUCUGUUUAAACCCUCUCGUAACCCCUCCCCUCUUCUGUUCUCUCUCUCGUAACCCCUCCUCUUUCUGUUUUAACCACUCUCGGUAACCCCUCCCCUCUUCUGUUUCUCUCUCGUAACCCCUCCCCUCUUCUGUUUUAUACCCUCUCGUAACCCCUCCCCUCUUCUGUUUUACCCUCUCGUAACCCCUCCCCUCUUCUGUUUUCUCUCUCGUAACCCCUCCCCUCUUCUGUUUACCCUCUCGUAACCCCUCCCCUCUUCUGUUUACCCUCUCGUAACCCCUCCCCUUCUUGUUACCCUCUCGUAACCUCUCCCUCUUCUGUUUUAACCCUCUCGUAACCCCUCCCCUCUUCUGUUUCUCUCUCUCGUAACCCCUCCCCUCUUCUGUUUUACCCUCUCGUAACCCCUCCCCUCUUCUGUUUCUCCUCGUAACCCCUCCCCUCUUCUGUUUUAACCCUCUCGUAACCCUCCCCUCUUCUGUUUCUCUCUUGUAACCCCUCCCCUCCGCUGUUUCUCUCUCUCGUAACCCUCCCCUCUUCUGUUUCUCUCUCGUAACCCCUCCCCUCUCUCUGUUCCCCUCUUGUAACUCCUCCCCUCUUCUGUUCCCCUCUCGUAACUCCUCCCCUCUUCUGUUCCCCUCUCGUAACCCCUCCCUCGUCUGUUUACUCUCUCGUAACCCCUCCCGUCCUCUGUUUCCCUCUCGUAACCCCUCCCUCCUCUGUUUCCCUCUCGCAAACCCCUCCCCUCCUCUGUUUCCCUCCCGUAACCCCUCCCCUCCUCUGUUUCCCUCCCGUAACCCCUCCCCUCCUCUGUUUCUCUCCGUGACCCCUCCCUUUGUUCCCUCUCGUAAACCCCACCUCCCCCCUUGUGCUAUCAGACGGUCAGGUCAGGAACAGGAAGCAGGCUCUAACAACAGGGGGGCCAGGAGGAGGAGGAUGUAUGAGCAGCUGCCAGAGGUGCAGAGGAGGAGAGAGGAGGAGAAGAGGAGAGAGGAGUACCGCUCUUACAGACAACAGCUCAGCUCUACAACAAGAGAAUCACCAACAGAGUCCUGGGCAGACAAACACCCUGGCAGUGAGCGCCUAGGAGGACUUUUACACUUGAUUCCGUGUACGUGUGCUGUGGAAUAAAAUACAAUGUAGUUCAAUUGUUUACAUUUUCUAACGUUUUAUUCCGAUCUGCUUCCAUUUUGUUCACCUUUUUUAACAAAUUAUGAAGUAAAUUUAAAAAAAGUAAAUAAUUUGUCUGUUUCUAAAGAGACAGGGUCGUAAUUGGUGUGUAUUUAAAUACUUAUUAUUAUAGUCUUUUUAUGACCAAAAUAUAAAUAAACAUGCUUUCUACACUCUAGCUGCUGUCUGUUUGUCCCAACCUUGUGUUAGGCAGAAAGCAGAAUACAAAACAGUGUAGUCAUUCCCUCAAGUUCUCCCGCAAAGAAAUCAAUCAGGCAAAAUGUCAGUAUAGAGACAAAGUGGAGUCUCAAUUCAACGGCUCAGACACGAGACGUAUGUUGGCAGGCGUCAUGACUGGCCUGUUCGGGUCAGGUUACCACGGACCACAGUCCUACAGAGAUAUUUAUUUGUGACACCUCGCGUGUGUAAAUCUUAAGGCAGCAGACAGAAUCCAGGGUCUAAAGACAUUACAAAAAUAAAACCAGCCCUGUUGCGGACACCGUCUCGCUUCCGGAUAAGCUAAACACCUUCUUCACCCGCUUUGAGGAUAACUCGGUGCCAAUGACGCAGCCCGCUACCAAGGACUGUGGUCUUUCCUUCUCCGUGGACGACGUGAGUAAGACAUUUAAGCGUGUUAACCCUCGCAGGGCUGCCGGUCCAGACAGCAUCCCUAGCGCGUCCUCAGAUCAUGUGGAGACCGGCUGGAUGGUGUGUUUCCAGACAUAUUCAAUCUCUCCCUAUCUCCGUCUGCUGUCCACACAUGCUUCAAGAUGGCCACCAUUGUUUCUGUACCCAAGAAGGCAAAGGAACUGAACUAAAUGACUAUCACUCACUUCUGUCAUCAUGAAAUGCUUUGAAAGACUAGUCAAGGAUCAUAUCACCUCCACCCUACCUGAUACCAUAGACCCACAUCAAUUGGCUUACCGCCCCAAUAGAUACACAGAGGAUGCAAUCUCAACCACACUCCACACUGCCCUAUCCUAUCUGGACAAGGGGAAUACCUACUUAAGAAUGCUGUUCAUCGACGACAGCUCAGCCUUCAACACCCAUAGUAGCCUCCAAGCUCAUCAUUAAGCUCGAGGCCCUGGGUCUGAACCCUGCCCUGUGCA